AUCUGGGAGGACUCCAGGAGGAUGCUGCUCUUCAGAGACGGGAAGCUUCGGUUUGUGCAGUCAGCCCUGCUUUGCUGGGGGCUUCCUGAAGGAACGUUCGCUGGAUCUGGUCACCCCUCGUCUGGAACUCCAGGGUUUUCAAAAAAGCAGAGAGGAGACUUGAUUCUAUUCUAGGCCCAGCCAUUUCAGAGACCAUGGCUGGACAGGAUCUGAGACCUCCCAUGCUCACCGGCUUCCACCCUCCCUGGAUCCCUCCCAAGUCCUGGAGGCCAGGAGUCAGAAAUGAAGCUGCGUGCAGGGCUGUGCUCCCUCCAGCCUCUGCCUCUCCCUCUCCACCAGGUAGAACCUUCCUUGCCUCUCCCUAGUUCCUGGUGAUGGCCCGCCAUCCCUGGCCUGC